rnacentral:lncRNA from 1 species
AGGCGUUGUGCCAGGGUGAUGACCAGUAUGGCCCUGAGGCUCAACCUCUGUCUCCUGCAAACAAGGAACACAAGCCCAUCAGGUGAUGAAGCCAUGUGCUGGGAACACGCAAGACACAGCAGGAGGGUUUCUUAUAAACACCACAAUGUGUUCACGACUAAAUCUAUUUUAAACACUCAGAAUUUUCUGCUGGAAGCGGUGCGAACAGGAACCAGGAAGUGAGCCAUGUGCCCAGCAUCUCACCUGAUCCCUGCAGAUAUAUAGAGGCUCCUGGCCCGGAGGCCCCACACUGAGCACCUUCUCUCUCCACCUGCUCCUCUAACCUACUCCACCCUCAAUCCACCAGAACCAUGGGCUGCUGUGGCUGUUCCGGAGGCUGCGGCUCCAGCUGUGGGGCUGUGGCUCCAGCUGUGGAGGCUGCGGUUCCAGCUGUGGGGCCUGCGGCUCCAGCUGUGGGGCUGUGGCUCCAGCUGUGGGGCUGCGGCUCCAGCUGCUGUGUGCCCGUCUGCUGCUGCAAGCCGUAUGCUGCUGUGUGCCAGCCUGCUCCUGCUCCAGCUGUGGCAAGGGGUUGCGGCUCCUGUGGGGCUCCAAGGGGCUGUGGCUCCUGUGGGGGCUCAAGGGGCUGUGGCUCCUGUGGGGCUCUAAGGGGCUGUGGCUCCUGUGGGGCUCCAAGGGGCUGUGGCUCAUGUGGGGCUGUGGCUCCUGUGGGGCUCCACGGGGUGCUGUGGCUCCAGCUGCUGUGUGCCUGUCUGCUGCUGCAAGCCGUAUGCUGCUGUGUGCCAGCCUGCUCUUGCUCCAGCUGUGGCGAAGGGGGGCUGUGGCUCCUGUGGCUGCUCCCAGUCCAGCUGCUGUGUUCCUGUUUGCUGCUCCCAGUCCAGCUGCUGCAAACCCUGCUGCUCCCAGUCCAGCUGCUGUGCUCCUGUUUGCUGCUCCCAGUCCAGCUGCUGCAAACCCUGCUGCUCCCAGUCCAGCUGCUGUGUCCCCGUGUGCUGCCAGCGCAAGAUCUGAAGCUGUGUCCAGGGACCUCAAGUGGCUCCCGGAACCCAGGAAUCUAGGAAGUGACUGGUGCCCGUCCAAGACUAGCAAGUGGCAGUUCUGAAUCCAUCUUUUCUGAAUGGGGAGCCCAGCUCUCCAGUCCCAGCAGAUUGCUUCCCAGAUGCAGGCGAAGGGACACCUCUUCGUGCCUUCUGUCCGUUCUGGAUCCCGCCUCCUCUGCCUCAAAGUCAUUUCCUUCCCAGUCUCCGCAUGACUGCAGUCCCCACAGGCCCCUGAUUCCUGGAGCCCACUGACCCUUGUGCUUUGGACUUGGCCUACCUGGCCCAUCCCACAAGGCCAACAUCUGGACCACAGACCCAGAGGGUGCCCCACUCUCCUCAGCCCCGCAUCAGCUGGCCCAGCGCUUCACCAGGAUUCGCCUGUGCCUCCUUCACGGCCACAGUCCAGUCUGGACUUGGUGCAGACUCUAAAUAAACACAUUCCCUUCUCAAGGACUCUGUCUCCAUGAUACUUCUUUAUUUUUUAAUAUUCUUUUAAAUUUU